UACGUAGGGGCGAGCGUUGUCCGGAUUUAUUGGGCGUAAAGAGCUCGUAGGCGGUUCGAUAAGUCGGACGUGAAAUCUCCACGCUCAACGUGGAGGGGCCGUUCGAUACUGUCGUGACUCGAGUCCGGUAGGGGAGUGUGGAAUUCCCGGUGUAGCGGUGAAAUGCGCAGAGAUCGGGAGGAACACCCGUAGCGAAGGCGGCACUCUGGGCCGGUACUGACGCUGAGGAGCGAAAGCGUGGGGAGCAACAGGAUUAAGAA
rnacentral:rRNA from 1 species